GCCAGGCACAGUGGUGUACACCUGUAAUCCCAGUAACUCAGGAGGCUGACACAGGGGGAUCAUGAGUUUGAGGCCAGCCUCAGCAACUUAGUGAGACCCUGUCUCCA
rnacentral:sRNA from 1 species